AUUGAACGCUGGCGGCAUGCUUUACACAUGCAAGUCGAACGGUAACAGGCCGCAAGGUGCUGACGAGUGGCGGACGGGUGCGUAAUGCAUCGGAACGUGCCCAGUCGUGGGGGAUAACUACUCGAAAGAGUAGCUAAUACCGCAUACGAUCUAUGGAUGACAGCGGGGGACCGUAAGGCCUCGCGCGAUUGGAGCGGCCGAUGUCAGAUUAGGUAGUUGGUGGGGUAAAGGCCCACCAAGCCAACGAUCUGUAGCUGGUCUGAGAGGACGACCAGCCACACUGGGACUGAGACACGGCCCAGACUCCUACGGGAGGCAGCAGUGGGGAAUUUUGGACAAUGGGCGCAAGCCUGAUCCAGCAAUGCCGCGUGCAGGAAGAAGGCCUUCGGGUUGUAAACUGCUUUUGUACGGAACGAAACGGCUCUGGUUAAUACCCGGGGCUAAUGACGGUACCGUAAGAAUAAGCACCGGCUAACUACGUG
rnacentral:rRNA from 1 species